rnacentral:rRNA from 5 species
UUGACCUCGGAUCAGGUAGGAAUACCCGCUGAACUUAAGCAUAUCAAUAAGCGGAGGAAAAGAAACCAACAGGGAUUG